rnacentral:pre_miRNA from 1 species
CAACUACUCCCUCUGUCCCAAAUUUCUUGUCUUAGAUUUUUCUAGAUACGGAUGUAUCUAAUACUAAAAUGUGACUUGAUACAUCCGUAUCUAGACAAAUCUAAGGCAUGAAUUUUGGGACGGAGGGAGUACUUU